UACGUAGGGCGCAAGCGUUGUCCGGAAUUAUUGGGCGUAAAGAGCUCGUAGGCGGCCUGUCGCGUCCGCUGUGAAAUCCCGGGGCUUAACCCCGGGCGUGCAGUGGAUACGGGCUGGCUAGAGGCAGGCAGGGGAGAACGGAAUUCCUGGUGUAGCGGUGAAAUGCGUAGAGAUCCGGAAGAACACCGGUGGCGAAGGCGGCCUGCUGGGCAGUUGCUGACACUGAGGCGCGACAGCGUGGGGAGCAAACAGG
rnacentral:rRNA from 1 species